GACGAACGCUGGCGGCGUGCUUAACACAUGCAAGUCGAACGGAAAGGCCCUGCUUUUGUGGGGUACUCGAGUGGCGAACGGGUGAGUAACACGUGAGUAACCUGCCCUUGACUUUGGGAUAACUUCAGGAAACUGGGGCUAAUACCGGAUAGGAGCUCCUGCUGCAUGGUGGGGGUUGGAAAGUUUCGGCGGUUGGGGAUGGACUCGCGGCUUAUCAGCUUGUUGGUGGGGUAGUGGCUUACCAAGGCUUUGACGGGUAGCCGGCCUGAGAGGGUGACCGGCCACAUUGGGACUGAGAUACGGCCCAGACUCCUACGGGAGGCAGCAGUGGGGAAUAUUGCACAAUGGGCGGAAGCCUGAUGCGGCAACGCCGCGUGCGGGAUGACGGCCUUCGGGUUGUAAACCGCUUUCGCCUGUGACGAAGCGUGAGUGACGGUAAUGGGUAAAGAAGCACCGGCUAACUACGUG
rnacentral:rRNA from 1 species